GAUGAACGCUGGCGGCGUGCCUAAUACAUGCAAGUCGAGCGAACAGACGAGGAGCUUGCUCCUCUGACGUUAGCGGCGGACGGGUGAGUAACACGUGGAUAACCUACCUAUAAGACUGGGAUAACUUCGGGAAACCGGAGCUAAUACCGGAUAAUAUAUUGAACCGCAUGGUUCAAUAGUGAAAGACGGUUUUGCUGUCACUUAUAGAUGGAUCCGCGCCGCAUUAGCUAGUUGGUAAGGUAACGGCUUACCAAGGCGACGAUGCGUAGCCGACCUGAGAGGGUGAUCGGCCACACUGGAACUGAGACACGGUCCAGACUCCUACGGGAGGCAGCAGUAGGGAAUCUUCCGCAAUGGGCGAAAGCCUGACGUAGCAACGCCGCGUGAGUGAUGAAGGUCUUCGGAUCGUAAAACUCUGUUAUUAGGGAAGAACAAAUGUGUAAGUAACUAUGCACGUCUUGACGGUACCUAAUCAGAAAGCCACGGCUAACUACGUG
rnacentral:rRNA from 1 species